rnacentral:rRNA from 1 species
ACGUAGGGGGCGAGCGUUGUCCGGAUUUAUUGGGCGUAAAGGGCGUGUAGGCGGCCUUGUAAGUCGGGAGUGAAACCCCGGGGCUUAACCCCGGGCCUGCUUCCGAAACUGUGAGGCUUGAGUGCUCUAGAGGGUAGUGGAAUUCCCGGUGUAGCAGUGAAAUGCGUAGAGAUCGGGAGGAACACCAGUGGCGAAGGCGACUGCCUGGGGAGUAACUGACGCUGAGGCGCGAAAGCUAGGGGAGCGAACA